CGCGGAGCCACUGCGGCCACCGCGGAGUCUGAGACGCCUACCUGGAUUGGACGCCCCAGCCAGCUGUGAAUGGGACUCCCCUUCCCAUUGGCUGGUUUCCUGUACCACUCGGAGACAGGUGGAGUUAAACUGGACCUAGGGGAAAAGGCACAACUGACCGAGAGGCUGGUACUUUUCCUUGUAUCUGUAAUGCCCAAAGAUGAAGCUGUCACUUAAAAUUGAAAUCGUGUGUCAAAUACACCUGGAUGAUAAGGGUUACUUGUUUCCUGAAGAACAAGAAAUCCAGAAAGAAGGUGCACUUUGGAAUCAUUGACUUUGCAGUUCUGUGUGGGAGAUAUUACUCAUGCACACUGCUCUGUUUUUCUACCUGGAAAUUGAUUGGCUUCUGGUUCUUUUCAUGGUAAAGAUAACUACCUACAGGAAUGGUAAAAUCCAUUUUUUUCAUGCUCCCUGGGUAAUACACGGGACUUCUCCAGGGUUUUGUAUCUUAGUGGCGGCACCUCCAAUUCAGGUAGACUAGUUGCUGUCUUGUAUGCCCCACUCUGAGGGAGUAAAAUCAAAAAUAGGCAAGCACCUAUUUUCCAUCCAUACCCUAAGCUGAGCACUGGGCAGGAACUAUUUUUCUCAAACUUCUUUCUUCUUUAGUAGAUUUGAGAUGGAGUGGGUGUUGGAAAGUCCACUAAAGUGUUCUUCUAGAUAUGGAUGUUUGGUUGGAAGUGUCACCCCAGCCUUUGGCACCCCUGUAUCCAGAGAGUCUGGGAUGUUUGGUUGGAAGUGUCACCCCGGCCCCUGGCACCCCUGUAUCUAGAGAGUCUGGGGUGUUUGGUUGGAAGUGUCGCCCCAGCCCCUGGCACUCCUGUAUCCAGAGAGUCUGGGGUGUUUGGUUGGAAGUGUCGCCCCAGCCCCUGGCACCCCUGUAUCCAGAGAGUCUGGGGUGUUUGGUUGGAAGCACCACCUUAGCCCCUAACAUCCUUAUACCCAAAGAGUCUGUAAUGUUGGGUUCAGGCUUCACUCCGGGCCCUGGCAUCUGUAUAGCCAAAGAGACUGGAAUGUUUGGUGGAAAGUUCCAUCCCAAGCCCCCUUCCCCUGGGAGUUGCCUCAGUUCAGACUCCACCUCCCAAGAAAGCCUGCCAAACAGUGUCCCCUACCCAGAGAGGCGCAAGACCACUCCCACAGGGUAUUUAAACUGCCCCACUCCCCAGACCUAACCAGUGAUCUUUCUAGUCUUCCUUCCCCCACCUCCUCUCUGAGGGCCUGGAAGGCCUCCUGGGAGCACUGGCAUGCACUAAACCUGGGCCUUUUCUAAUUCGGUUUGAUUUGGUCUGAUUUGGAUUAUUGUGUGAGUGGAGAGGUUUAUUGGGCCAUAAAAACUUUUCUGUGUAAAGGUAAAAGAAUGUGACAUUAAUACUGAUUUUCAUUUCUAAUGUAAAUUUUCACAUAAUUAUUGUUUUAUUUAGGUAGACAAAAGAAUACCAUUCACUUAAAUAUUCUUUCACCUUAGCUUUUUGAAGAGCUUUGUAGAGAGGCUUUAUGUUGUGGAAUAUAGUUUAAGAUGUCCUAUAUUUGUUUAUACAGUGGAAUAUUUGCUUAAAAUGCAAAGAUGUGUUGCAUUCACUUUUUUAAGUAAUUUAUUUUAAAAUGAUCUUUUCUGAUUUGAGGUACCUAUCCCAGUUCCAUUCCCUCAGCUUUUACUGUUUCCCCUACCUCCCCCACCCGACUCCCAAUCUACUCCUCAGAGAGGGUAAGGCUUGCCAUGGGGAGUCAACAAUGCCUGACAUGUUACUUUGAUGCAGGACCAAGGCCCUCCCCUCUAUAUUUAGACUGAGCAAGGUGUCCCUCCAAAAAGAAUGGACUCCAAAAAGCCAGUUCAAGCAGUAGGGAAAAAUCCCGGUCCCACUGGCAGUGACUGCAAAGACUGCCCCAACCACACAUCUGUGACCCACAUUCAGAGGGCCUAGUUUGAUCCUAUGCAGGUUCCCCCACUGUCAGUCCAGAGUCAGUGAGCUCCCACUAGCUUAGGUCAGCUGUCUCUGUGGGUAUCCUUAUUGUGGUCUUGACCCCUUUGCUCAUAUUAUCUCUCCUUCCUUUCUCCUACUGGUCUCUAGAAGCUUCGCCCAGUGCUUAGCUGUGGAUCUCUGCACCUGCUUCCCUAAGUUGCUGGAUGAAGAUUCUAUGGUAACAAUUAAGGUGACUACGGUUGGUGUGUGGUCAUGACUAUGGUCGGCAUGCCACGUCCAGAACACAGCAUUUCAACACUUCUCCCAUCCUCCAGCUCUGACAUUAGCUCCUCCUCGUCUUCCAAGAUGAUGGUCCUGAGCCUUGGCUGGGGGUGGAGGAGGACUUGAUAAUGAUGUCCCAUUUCAGACUGAGCACUCUCUAAUUCUCAGCACUUUGACCAAGUGUGUGUCACUGCAUUGACUGCUACCCACUGCAAAAGAAGCUUUUCUAACCAAGGGUAGGAGGAGCCCAGGUUUAUGGAUAUAGACGUAAAUAUUUAGAAGGCAAUUAGACAGCAUUGCCAUUGAGCACACAGUAAUAGUUGGUUCUACCCCAGAGGCUCACCUCUCCAGUCAUGGACUUUUGGCCAACAAUACUGUGCCAGGAAGGGAAUUUCCUCCCUAUGGAGUGGCCCUCAGAUCCAAUCAGAAAGCUGUUAAUUAUCCAUAAGAGUCAUGCCAUGAUUACUCCAGUAGUCAUAUCAUGCCUGGAAAGUUGAUAUUGGAGCAUGCAGGUUGAGAAGAACCAUUGAUGUCUUUCCCUCCAGCAGCCUGUAUAGCUCCUGUAUAGCAUAAUAAAGUCAGCCAGCAGGGAGGAGUCUCCUUUUGGUCUGAGGUCUCUGUUUUCUACAUGACUGACGCCCCCAUGUCAUCUGCUCUGCGUGUGCUCCUUCCGUUU